CCGCUCAACAUAAUUGAUUAAUCUUUGUCUUAAUUAUUACAUGGGAUUCUCCAAUUAGGUGACUCCACAAAUCCUUCCACGUUAUCACCAAUCACACCCUUAGAUCCUUUCCUACUACCUUCAUCUUAAAUCCUGUGCACAUAUCUUUUCUCUCUAUCCAAGAUUGUGUUUUUAAUGAUGUUCUUCAUCAAUUAUAAUGUGUCAUUCAAUUAAAUAAAAAAAUUAGAAAAACAAAUUUUGUUAGUUAGAAUAAUUUAAUUG
rnacentral:lncRNA from 1 species